rnacentral:rRNA from 1 species
UACGAAGGGGGCUAGCGUUGCUCGGAAUCACUGGGCGUAAAGGGUGCGUAGGCGGGUUUUUAAGUCAGAGGUGAAAUCCUGGAGCUCAACUCCAGAACUGCCUUUGAUACUGAAAGUCUUGAGUAUGGGAGAGGUGAGUGGAACUGCGAGUGUAGAGGUGAAAUUCGUAGAUAUUCGCAAGAACACCAGUGGCGAAGGCGGCUCACUGGCCCAUUACUGGACGCUGAGGCUACGAAAGCGUGGGGAGCAACAGGG